rnacentral:rRNA from 1 species
AUUGAACGCUGGCGGAAUGCUUUACACAUGCAAGUCGAACGGCAGCACGGACUUCGGUCUGGUGGCGAGUGGCGAACGGGUGAGUAAUGUAUCGGAACGUGCCCAGUCGUGGGGGAUAACGUAGUGAAAAUUACGCUAAUACCGCAUACGAUCUAAGCAUGAAAGCGGGGGAGCGCAAUACCACGCGCGGUUGGAUCGGCCGAUAUCAGAAUAGGUAUUUGGUGGGGGAGAGGCUCAACAAGCCAACGAUCUGUAGCUGGUCUGAGAGGACGACCAGCCACACUGGAACUGAGACACGGUCCAGACUCCUACGGGAGGCAGCAGUGGGGAAUUUUGGACAAUGGGCGAAAGCCUGAUCCAGCCAUUCCGCGUGCAGGAUGAAGGCCCUCGGGUUGUAAACUGCUUUUGUACAGAACGAAAAGGUUUCUACUAAUACUAGGAGCUCAUGACGGUACUGUAAGAAUAAGCACCGGCUAACUACGUGCCAGCCGCCGCCGUAA